GACGAACGCUGGCGGCGUGCCUUAUACAUGCAAGUUGAGCGCUGAAGGUUGGUACUUGUACCAACUGGAUGAGCAGCGAACGGGUGAGUAACGCGUGGGGAAUCUGCCUUUGGGCGGGGGACAACAUUUGGAAACGAAUGCUAAUACCGCAUAAAAACUUUAAACACAAGUUUUAAGUUUGAAAGAUGCAAUUGCAUCACUCAAAGAUGAUCCCGCGUUGUAUUAGCUAGUUGGUGAGGUAAAGGCUCACCAAGGCGAUGAUACAUAGCCGACCUGAGAGGGUGAUCGGCCACAUUGGGACUGAGACACGGCCCAAACUCCUACGGGAGGCAGCAGUAGGGGAUCUUCGGCAAUGGACGAAAGUCUGACCGAGCAACGCCGCGUGAGUGAAGAAGGUUUUCGGAUCGUAAAACUCUGUUGGUAGGGAAGAACGUUGGUGAGAGUGGAAAGCUCAUCAAGUGACGGUAACUACCCAGAAAGGGACGGCUAACUACGUG
rnacentral:rRNA from 1 species